rnacentral:rRNA from 1 species
GAUGAACGCUGGCGGCGUGCCUAAUACAUGCAAGUCGAGCGAACAGACGAGUAUCUUGCUCCUCUGACGUUAGCGGCGGGCGGGUGAGUAACAUGUGGAUAACCUACCUAUAAGACUGGGUUAACUUCGUGAAACCGGUGCUAAUACCGGAUCAUAUCUUCAACCGCAUGGUUCAAUAGUGAAGGACGGUUUUGCUGUCACUUCUACAUGGCUCCGCGCCGCAUUAGCUAGUUGGUAGGGUAACGGCUUCCCAAAGCAACGAUGCGUAGCCGACCGGAGAGGGGGAAGGGGCCCACUGGGACCGAGCCACCGUCCAGACACCGACGGAAGGCCCCGGUAGCGAAUGUUGCGAAAAGGGCGAAAGCUUGACGGAGCGGCGGAGGGUGGGUGAUGAAGGUCCUCGGAUCGGAAAACUCUGUUAGUAGUGAAGAACGAAUGUGGAAGGAGCUAUGCAUGUGUUGACGGUACCUGAACAGAAAGCACCGGCUAACUACGUG